GAUUAACGCUGGCGGCAUGCCUAACACAUGCAAGUCGAACGAAGGCUUCGGCCUUAGUGGCGCACGGGUGAGUAACGCGUGGGAAACUGCCUAUUGGUGGGGAAUAACGACGGGAAACUGUCGCUAAUACCGCAUAAGCCCUUCGGGGGAAAGAUUUAUCGCCGAUAGAUGUGCCCGCGUCCGAUUAGCUAGUUGGUGAGGUAAUGGCUCACCAAGGCGACGAUCGGUAGCUGGUCUGAGAGGAUGAUCAGCCACACUGGGACUGAGACACGGCCCAGACUCCUACGGGAGGCAGCAGUGGGGAAUAUUGGACAAUGGGCGAAAGCCUGAUCCAGCAAUGCCGCGUGAGUGAUGAAGGCCUUAGGGUUGUAAAGCUCUUUCGGGUGGGACGAUGAUGACGGUACCACCAGAAGAAGCCCCGGCUAACUUCGUGCCAGCCGCCGCAGUAA
rnacentral:rRNA from 1 species